UUAGUAUUUUCAGUCGUAGUCAUUGAUAAUUACAUUAAAAAUAAUUAUUUGUAAUUACAUCAACAUUUCCAUUUUAAUGUAAAAGAAAGACAAACACUCUUUUACCAUUUUAUUUAUAGUAAUGGAUCGAUGCAAAUUUUAUUACAAUUUAAAAUAAUUAUUUUUUUGUACAUAGUUCGAGAAACAUUCGUGUAAAGACAAUAGGCAUAUUCCAUAUUUAGUAAAAAUUACUAUAAAUUUUCAAUAUUUCAAUAUAUACAUUCGCUACAUACUAAGUAAUUAUAUAAAAUAAUAGGAAAAUAUUGUAAUAUUCCACAUAAGAGAUUUCGAGAUCGAGGCAUUCGAGAGAUUCAAGCUUAACAAAACCUGCCCAUGAAAAAUAGUUUACUGAACGCGUUCUUAAACUUUAAAUAACGCUAUUUUCGCCACGAGAAUUUUUUCUUUCGUAGGGGAUGAUUUAUUUCGAACUCUGAAUUCGGUGACUCAUUUCUACGUGACUUCCGUCUGGGUGGGGCCAACUUGUCUAAUGGUAAAACAAUACAAAAAUCUUUCGAUCUGUACGGAAGUUUUUCUGACUCUAUAAAACUGAAUUAAACUUCCAUCCAUUAUACAUUUAUUUUUGUUCAUUUCGGAAAAAAUAUUUUGUACAUUUUCUCGCUUAUAUUUCAGAUAUUUCUUUUCUAAUUCUUACUAUAGUAAUCUAAGCCAUAUUAAUCUAGUUACUUUCGCGGUGUACGAUUUCUAAUCACCAGGACUUAUAACACAAGACAAACAAAAAUCGUACACUUCUUUCCGUUAUUUUAUUUACUUACUUAGCAGUUGAUAAAAUCAAUAGAAAAUCGUUCUUGUUGUAUUAUUAAUUUGAAAUUAAUUUAUCUCUAUUCAGAUGAAUAUAAUGGGUAAUUUAUUAAUUAAAAUAUUAAAAUAUUAAAUACGAAAGUGUGAAGAAUUUUUUAAAUUAUUCGAUGCUUAAUUUCGAUUUGUCGAUAAACAAUAGAAAAUGAAUAACACUUUAAGGAAAUCAGAAUUUGAAAAUAACUAGUUUAAAAUUUGAAAAUAACCAUGUAGUUUUGUGACAUUUUAAAACAAGCCACGGUAACUCAAUCGAUAACAUCGAAGCUUUAAAUUAUAAACACGAGAUAUCACUGUACAAGGAUAAUCCGAAUCAAGUUGAAUGUACGAAACAAUAAAAAAACAUUACGGGACCCAAGAUUUACGGGAAUCUAAAACCAAGCUCGGAAAUUAUAACUAAAGAUACGAUUUAAUCAAGCCCGUAUAAUACACACUAAAACGAAGUGAUGGAAAUCGUCGAGGGAAACUUAAGCUUCUGUUGCCAAGCAGUCGUACUAACUCACCGGAUAAAGCGAUUGAAAAGAAGAUGUACGUACUUGUUGUAGAAGAACACAGGAAAAAAAGACAGGGAAAAGUAAGUAAGGAAAGUACGAGUCACGAUCACCAAAUUACGUUCGUCACAAUAAAGAUACCCGGCGACUGACUUAACUCGCUGGUUCUCUCCCGAUUGUGUUAAGGAUCCCACAGGACUUCCAACGCAUGCGCAUAUCCGUACUCACCAUAGUACCAGGAAUGUACAUAGAGUGGAAUAUUGGAUAAGUUAUUAGACGAUUUUUUCAUAUGUUUAUUAUAACUGGCAAUUCGAUUAGCGUAUCAUAAUUAGAGCGUUUCGAUGCGCUAGAAUGGAAAUGAUUACAGGUACAACGUUAUGUCGUUGGAUAUUAUAAAAUGGAUGAAAUUAUCUAGUGCGACGAAUGAAGCAAGUUCUAGCACUAUUCCUUGAAAGCACGGCACUGUGCAGGUCUGUCAGGAUAUCGCGCGUGCGCCGUUUUAAUACGGGAAACAGAAAGAAACAACGGUGGGGAACAGCAGACAGGCAUCGAACUGUCGACUUUGUGGAGGGCCGUGAGCUGUGGAUUGACCACCCUACUUUGUAUGGAACCAUGGUGGAUGCAAUAAUUGCAAGUUUUAAUUGAUAAAUAUUUUUCUUAAAUAUAGAAAUAUAGUUUAUGUUACCAAGUGUCUCCAAACAGAGGUUAUAACAGUAAUUGUCAUACCAUAGACAUAACCUAACGGGUACCUUAAUUUCAAACUUAUAUAUUCCAAAGAAAAUUAUAAUAAUUAACGUAUGAGAAAUACUAUUCUAAUUAUCCAACAUGUCAAGUUUCAUUUCUAUAUUUACUAAUUUGAGGAAUCCGUAGGCAUGUUAUCGGAAUUGUUUUAAAUACGUUGUAAGUCACGUAUGAUACGUAUUAUUUAUGAUAUUUAUCAGAAUUAUUUUAAGAUAAACAAACAACUCUCCGAUCUUCGCCAGGAGCGAAAAUUUGCUUUGCGGUAUAACCUAAAUGCAUCUAGCAUCAUCGUUAGGCGAACUGUAACUGAUAGAAAGAAAAGAAGAACGAAAGGAGAAAAAGAGAAGGAACGAGAGAGUUCGUUGGCCGUCAAAGGGAAGUCAGAAGCAUGACUGUAACCGUGCCUGUGAUCGUGAUCUGGACAGCAACCGUGAUCGUGAUUCGUAACCAUGACCGACUUGCGUUUACAUGACACUCUAGGAAAUUGUGUGUAUUGUACUACGAUAUUCUGUGAUAACUAACGCGUAUUACAGUACGCGUCUAUAUAAUCAUGUAUAUACCAUUCCACCAACAAUUUUUGACUUUUUCCUUUGAAGAAUUUUGUUCACAUUAAACUGUCUUGCAGUCUAUGUGGCAAUAAGGGAGACCUGAAAUUAUGAUCAAAUUUUAUAUCGUAGCUGUAACCUUUUUCAGAUCCUCGUAGACGUUUCAAAAUUCUUGCUUUCAUCUUUAUAAUAGUUUAAACGUCCACUGUUAGGCAAUGACACUUUAUGUGCAACGCGAAAGUAUCAUUGCGAAGUAGUUUUACGUCUACGAGACUGAAUGAGUAUAUUUUAGCAAAUUCUAGUAGUAGAUGAUCUAUCCAUGUAUGCGUCAUACGUCAAAAUGUAAAAUCAAAUGUAAAAUUGCAUGCGACAAAAUCUACUAAAUGUUGGAUGUUUUGAUGUUGGUCAUGUUUUGUUGAAUGUUUAGAUACUUCUCGAAAACAACGAAAUAAUCGGCGGGUACUUUCAACAGCUUCUUUCCUAAAUAAAUUUUUAGAUAAUUUGCGUAACAAAUUCAUUAAAUUCUAUACGUGCUGUACAUCGCGGUGGGUUCAGUGCACGAUCGUGCAUGAUGUGCAUGAUCAUCAAUGAUCAUGCACAAUCACGAUGAGAGCUGGAGUGCACCUUGAUUAUAACCUGUGAUGCCAGUGCUGCUUCCAGCUAGCACAUGCGCGUUGAAAAACUUGAAGGCACAGUAUUGUAGCUACAAGAAACGAUGCGUAGUCCCAAUUCUUUUAUGCUUUUAUUAUUUCUUAGGGCGCCACUACUGUGGUCAUAUUAGACACUAUACUCUUACAGAAAACAGUGCGCAUGCGUCAGUUGAAAGCAGCUCAGCAUCACAGCCUUCGACUAUACAGUACUAUGUGGUUAAAGGUUCGCAGAAACUUCGAGAUGACAACCGAAUCGACAUACAGGCUUAACAGGCUAGUAUAGGUUGCUGCAUGAAAGGGGCAUUCCUGCACCUACGAGAUGGCAACCGAAUCGACCACCAUGCCAGUAUAGGUUGCCGCGUAACAGGGGCUCUCUGGCGCCUACGAGAUGACAACCGAUCCGACAAAUCGGCUAGUUCGGUUGCCGCAUAUCAGGAGUACACCUGGCGCCUACGAGACGGCAAACGGACCGACCACAUGUCAGCAUUGGUUGCCGCGUAACAGGGGCAUCUCUGCGCAUCUCUUCGCAUAUCAUGUUCUCCUGAUACAAAAGGUAAGUAUUGAGAUUCAAUUAAAAGUUAUGACACCUCUUCAAAUAUCAUAUUCUCCUGAUACAAAAGGUAAGUUUCGAGACAGAAUUAAAAAUUAUGAAUCCUCCUCGACCAUCACGUUCUCCUGAUACAAAAGGUAAGUAUCGAGAUUCAAUUAAAAGUUAUGACAACUCUUAAAAUAUCAUAUUCUCCUGAUACAAAAGGUAAGUAUCGAGAUUCAAAUAAAAGUUAUGACACCUCUUCGCAUAUCAUGUUCUCCUGAUACCAGGAGUAAACUUUUGACCAAAAUUCGAUACGUACCAAAAAUUCCUCGUGCCAUCUCCUCGCAUAUCAUGUGCUCCUGAUACCCGGAGUAAAAAUCCGUCGUUUCCCGUCACAAAUCUGAGAGGAGCGAUUUGCAACAUUGUUGAAGUUUGGAGAGGAGCGAUUUGCAACAUUGUUGAAGUUUGGAGAGGAGCGAUUUGCAACAUUGUCAAAGGUUUGAGAGGAGCCAUUUGCAACAUUGUUGACUUUUCCAAAAUGCGAAAUUGGCCAGAAUCACGAAAUGUACCGAAAAUGUGCCCCUUGAAUUAGGCAACCCGUACUGACAGACAUGUCGGACCGGUUGCCUGUCCGUAGGCGCAAACGGUGCCAUCUCUUGGCAUAUCAUGUGCUCCUGAUACCAAAAUCCAAAAUCGGCCAGAAGAAGGAUUUUACAUUUUUGUAUUAGGAGAACACGAUACGUGAAGAGGUGGCGUAACUUUUAAUCGAAUCUCUAUACUUACCUUUUGUAUCAGGAGAACGUGAUGAUCGAGGAGAUUUCAUAAUUUUUACUUAUGUCUCGAAACUUACCUUUUGUAUCACGAGAACAUGAUAUGCGAAGAGGUGAUAUAACUUUUAAUUGGAUCCCUAUACUUACCUUUUGUAUCA